GACGAACGCUGGCGGCGUGCCUAAUACAUGUAAGUAGAACGCUGAAGCGAGGAGCUUGUUAUUAUUGGAUGAGUUGAGAAAGGGUGAGUAAAGCGUAGGUAAAAUGGAUUGUAGUGGGGGAUAAAUAUUGGAAAAGAUAGCUAAUACCGCAUAACAAUGGAUGACACAUGUCAUUUAUUUGAAAGGGGCAAUUGCUCCACUACAAGAUGGACCUGCGUUGUAUUAGCUAGUAGGUGAGGUAAUGGCUCACCUAGGCGACGAUACAUAGCCGACCUGAGAGGGUGAUCGGCCACACUGGGACUGAGACACGGCCCAGACUCCUACGGGAGGCAGCAGUAGGGAAUCUUCGGCAAUGGGGGCAACCCUGACCGAGCAACGCCGCGUGAGUGAAGAAGGGUUUCGGAUCGUAAAGCUCUGUUGUAAAUCAAUAACGGGUGUGAGAGUGGAAAGUUCACACUGUGACGGUAGCUUACCAGAAAGGGACGGCUAACUACGUG
rnacentral:rRNA from 1 species